rnacentral:rRNA from 1 species
GUCUACGGCCAUGCUACCCUGAACAAGCUCAAUCCCAUCUGAUCUUGGAAGCUAAACAGGGUCGGACCUGGUUUGUACUUGGAUGGGAGACCACCUAGGAAGACCAGGUGCUGUAGGCA